AACGAACGCUGGCGGCAGGCCUAACACAUGCAAGUCGAGGGGUAUAGUUCUUCGGAACUAGAGACCGGCGCACGGGUGCGUAACGCGUAUGCAAUCUACCUUUUGCAGAGGGAUAGCCCAGAGAAAUUUGGAUUAAUACCUCAUGGUAUGUGAGAAUGGCAUCAUUUUCACAUUAAAGUCACAACGGCAAAAGAUGAGCAUGCGUCCCAUUAGCUUGUUGGUAAGGUAACGGCUUACCAAGGCAACGAUGGGUAGGGGUCCUGAGAGGGAGAUCCCCCACACUGAUACUGAGACACGGACCAGACUCCUACGGGAGGCAGCAGUGAGGAAUAUUGGACAAUGGGCGCAAGCCUGAUCCAGCCAUGCCGCGUGCAGGAUGACGGUCCUAUGGAUUGUAAACUGCUUUUGUACAGGAAGAAACACUGGUUCGUGAACCAGCUUGACGGUACUGUAAGAAUAAGGAUCGGCUAACUCCGUGCCAGCAGCCGCGGUAAAAC
rnacentral:rRNA from 1 species